CUCGUAGGCGGCCAACUAAGUCAGACGUGAAAUCCCUCGGCUUAACCGAGGAACUGCGUCUGAUACUGGAUGGCUUGAGUUCGGGAGAGGGAUGUGGAAUUCCAGGUGUAGCGGUGAAAUGCGUAGAUAUCUGGAGGAACACCGGUGGCGAAGGCGGCAUCCUGGACCGACACUGACGCUGAGGAGCGAAAGCCAGGGGAGCAAACGGGAUUAGGAUACCCCGGUAGUCCCUGGACCCUAAACGAUGAAUGCUUGGUGUGGCGGGUAUCGAUCCCUGCCGUGCCGAAGCUAACGCAUUAAGCAUUCCGCCUGGGAGUACGGUCGCAAGGCUGAA
rnacentral:rRNA from 1 species